GUGCUCACUUCGGCAGCACAUAUACUAAAACUGGAAUGAUACAGAGAAGGUUAGCAUGGCCCCUGUGCAAGGAUGACAAGCAAAUUCAUGAAGUGUUCCAUAUUUUU
rnacentral:snRNA from 1 species